GAGGCGAGGGCUAUCUGGCUGUGACCUCUAUCAUCCCAUUGGUCUCCAGGGUUGAUUCUACUGAUCUUUCUGGUCAGGCGGGUGUCCCCUUUCUCCCUCACCACUUCAUGUCUGUUCCUCCUGAAGCUGCACGCUCUUUGAUAUUCCUGGAACAGAAGUGGCCCUGCUUUUGGAUAAGGGUACAGGAGGAGUUGCACUCUCUUGCAAGGAUAUCCAAAUAAGCUCUCAAAGAAUGAUGGGAACUGACUACCCCAAGGAACUGAGCUUUCUAAUUUUGGGCAUGGUCUUUUAAA
rnacentral:snRNA from 1 species